AUUGAACGCUGGCGGCAGGCCUAACACAUGCAAGUCGAACGAGUGGCGGACGGGUGAGUAAUGGCUGGGAAACUGCCCGAAGGAGGGGGAUAACUACUGGAAAAGGUAGCUAAUACCGCAUACCAUCGGAUGUGCCCAGAUGGGAUUAGCUAGUAGGUGGGGUAACGGCUCACCUAGGCGACGAUACCUAGCUGGUCUGAGAGGAUGACCAGCCACACUGGAACUUAACCACGGUCCAGACUCCUACGGGAGGCAGCAGUGGGGAAGAUUGCACAAUGGGCGAAAGCCUGAUGCAGCCAUGCCGCGUGUAUGAAGAAGGCCUUCGGGUUGUAAAGUACUUUCAGCGAGGAGGCGUUACUCGCACAAGAAGCACCGGCUAACUCCGUGCCAGCAGCCGCGGUAAUAC
rnacentral:rRNA from 1 species